UCAAGAACUUUUAAGUUAAUUGAAUUAAUAGUAUUCUAUUCAAUCGACGGCAUAGCAUUGUCAACGCAUGUAGCAGUCACAUUAUUUCUUUAUCUGCUGCCAAUAUCUUUGGCAUGGGUACAUUUUCAUUAGAAAAUAUUUCCGUAUUUGGUUUACAUAAAAUUGUUUACAAGAAAAGACUCACAUUUACUCUUAAUCUCUAAAGCAAAGUAUUUCUCAUUGCUUCUUCUAAUUGUAGACCAAAGGUUUUGUCGUUCCCCAGGAUUUUUUUCCACAGAGACAGCUCCUUCUUACAGUUUGAAGCCUCCAGGUCCAGAUUAUGAACUAAACAUUUGGUUAACAAAAAUUGCACUGAAGCUGAAUGCAAAGAAUUUAGACACUAUGAAGUUUAUUCUUGGAGGAGAAGAUGGAUCUCCAAGAUCAGUCUUAGAAAAAAUAACAUCGCCAUUGCAGCUGUUUAGCCAUUUAAUAGAUGAUGGUAAAUUAACACGUGAUAACAUUUUAUUCCUGCAAGCCAUGCUAUAUCAUGCUAGAAGGAUCGAUCUGUAUAAAAAGUUAAUGGAAUAUGGUGAAAAGUAUAAGGAUACUUUACAUUUUUAUGAACCUAGUUGUAAUCAAGAAAACGGGAACAGAGGUGUCAAAUUUCACGUUUCUUGUAAAAAAGAAACAUGUACAAAUAAUCUGGAAGACAUAAGGGCUAAGGCAGCAAGAUAUAUGAGUGUUGAUAUACAUUUUGUAUCGAUUCAGAGGUUGCGUGGUCACAAAUAGGUUUUUGGUUACAUUAAUGGUUCCUGAAGUAUGAGUAUAGUUCCUGUUGAACGGGAUUCUACAGGGAACAAUCAUCCUUGUCUGUUGUAAUAGACUAUUCAUGGUGGACGACGAGACAUGGUCACAAAUAGGUUUUGGGUUACAUUAAUGGUUCCUGAAGUAUGAGUAGAGUUCCUGUUGAAUGGGAUUCUACAGGAAACAGUCAUCCCUGUCUGUUGUAAUAGACUAUUCAUGGUGGACGACGAGACAUUUUCAUGGAAGAAGGAUGUGAAUAAAAUUGAUCAACUGACAACACAUGUCACUGGAGUUGUUUCCCAUUGACAAAACAAGUUCUUCAAUUUUCUUAUCUGACAAUGAAUAUCUUUAUGCUGAUUCGUAACGAGAUUGAACAAAUUAUGGAAAAUAAUAUUAGAUACUAAACUAAUUUUAGGGAAAGUAUGGAGUGCCAAGAGCACAAUAAUGAAACUUUUCAACUCAAACGUAAAAUUUGUGCUUUUGUAUGGAGCAGAAACAUGGAGAACAACUUAAACAAUGUUAUCAAGACUCCAAAGGUUCAUCAACUACUGCCUGAGGAGAAUCAUGCACAUCAGAUGGUUUGACAAAGUAUGAAAUGAAGACCUAUGGAAAAGAGCUGAUCAAGAACCAAUUAACAUCCAAAUCAAGAAACGAAAAUGGGUAUGGAUAGGCCACACACUGCGAAAAACAACAAGCAGCAUUACAAGGCAGGCACUUAAAUGGAACCCUCAAGGAAAAAGAAACAGAGGAAAACUAAGGAACACCUGGCGCAGGGACACAUAAUUUGAAAUGAAGCAACAGGGAUACAACUGGAACACUUUAGAGAAACAGGCGCUAAAUCGAGUUAGAUGGAGGGUGUUCGUGAAUGGCAUAUGCUCCCCGGAGGAGCUAAGGGCCUAAGAAAGGUAGCAAGUUACCGACUAUUUUGUAUUUGCAAGCAGAUAAUUGUUGGCUGGAAAAUAAAAGUCCAUAUGCACAGGCUUUUUUGUGAACUCCUUGUUCACCAAUACGUUUAAAUUAGGUGCAUUUAUCAUUUUGACGAGUUGAACAUACACACGAAGAUGUGGCUGCUACUUUAACAUGUUUAGGCCGAGUAUUAUAGCUGAAACUCUUCGUAGGAAUGAUUUUGAAACUAUGCCUCGUCUGAAGGAAAUGCUUCCGAACUUUAAGGAUUUUGAAGCAAUUUUUGACAUUCAUUCAUGGAUUAUAUGAAGCCUUUAUGCCAUUCGAAAGCAUACUAAACCUCUGAAUUAUAUGUGUAUGCGGGAUUUAGCUACAAAUACUGUGAAAAAGCAAUAUAAAGCUUUUUAAGACGGCGAAUGGAAAACAGAACAUAGAAUAAUUCAAUUACUAGUAAUUUCAGGAAGACUAAAUUUACCAACGGGAAUACCAAGAGGAACCAAUCCUUAGUUUGAGAAGAUAGAUUAAAAUCUAGAAUACCACAGUGGCAAGAUUUAUUCACUGAUCAAAUAGAUCAUCAAAGGGAACAGGGGUGGGCGGAUUUACCAUACAGAUGAACAAAAGUUAUAUCAAAGGCAAAAUUGAAUCUUCCGUUGUUACCCAAACAGCAAUUGGAAAAAGAAAGGCCCUCGAGUGAUCAAGACAUUGCAGCAGAGAUAAGGAAACUAUUGGAAAAUCAGAAGGAGAGAGAGAUGAAUUUUCUGUGCAAGUGAGGCCAAAACAAUCAAAACGGACAUACAAAGGGAACAGAAAGACACAGAAGAGAAAACAGGUCAAGAAAAGAAAACGAAGAGGAAUAUCAAGGAAACUGCCAGACAAAUCUACUCUUCAUAUAUUUAUUUCAUUUAAACUAGAAUUAACUACGAAAAACAUAGAUUAUAUAUAGCGAUAUAUUUUCUGUUUGAAUAAUUAUUCGUGUAUUGUUUAAUUAACGAAUAUUUGCAUUUAGUUGGGUUUUAUUUUUAUCUCAAAAUAUUUUUAAAUUUUUUGGAAAGAAUUGUUAGAUCACAUAAAAAUCCUUCUAUUUCAAACCAUCUUUAAUAUGUAUUAUUUAAGCACAUGAGACAGUUGUCGGUACUCUUUAACCACUCCAAACCUAUUUGAAAUGUUCUAUUGUUUAAUAUAACCCAAAGUUAUUCUCCAAAUAAUCCAAAUAGUUAAUUGUUGAUAACAUAUAAGAGACCCGAACUGAUUUGAAACUAAAUUUAAAUCCAAGAUGUUUCUUUUUGUCGACUUUGUUUUUGCUUUUUACACUUCUCUGAUGGUCUACUUUUGAUAUUUUUCGUUGUGAUACUGAUAAAACAAGAGUCAAUACUAAGAACUCAUUUAAGAAAACACAGCAAGACCCUUUUCUCUUCUGGUUUAAAGACCAGUUUAUACACUGAGUUUUAAACAGGACAAUUUUUGUUUCCUUGUUUGAUUAUUUUUUUUAUGUGAAUAAGAAAAUAUAUUAAUAUUUGGUCUAGACCAGAAUAAUAUAAAUGUGAAACGUCUGUAGACUUUCAUUUUGGUCGGAAGAUCACGUUACAUUUUUUGCUUUUUAUUAAGACUCUGUUUAUGGUUUUUAUACGCCCGUUUACGGGACAUAUUAUGGUAUACCGUUGUCCAUCCGCCCGUCUGUCCGUCCGUCGUCAACAUGUCGGACAUUAACUCAAAAACGCUUUAACUAAUUUGCAUGAAACUUUGGUGAAUUGUUUAUAUCUAUUGACGUGAGCGUCCUUUCGAUUUUUAUAAAUUUUAGAUUUUAUGUUUCCGAGUUAUGGGGUUAUAUUCAUUAAAAAAGGGGGAUUUUCCAGUUUUCGGACAUUAGCUCAAAAGUUUACUGAGCAGUUUUCAUGAAACUUUGGUGACUGUUUUAUAUCUAUUAAUCUAUUAAAAUAA